CUGAGGCGCGGGGACGCAGCGCUAGUACCGGAGCUUGGAACGUAGCCACCGGCCCCUCUCUGUGCACUCCUGCGCCAGCCUGGAGUUGCCCAGGGCUUUCUUUUGCUCCCGCAGGCGCUGAAUGCAUUUACUACACCUCUGGAAGAGCUAACUGAGGGGCCCCAAGGAGCAGGGCAGCCCUUGUCAAGAAGUUCCCCAUCUGGUGGCCGAGACAGGCAUGCCAAAAUAAUGUAUAACGGGCCCCUGUAUGCUGGACCUGCCAG